rnacentral:lncRNA from 1 species
GGUUUGUCUAUUUGAACAGUCCCCGCCUCCUGGAGAUGCCGGGUCCUGAGGCUUCACUUCUCCUUCAUUAUUGAUGGACUGUGUUCCUGCCUGUCUUAUUUUUCCGCCUGCCGAUUGGUCAUCGGGGCUGAAGGCCCGCCCCUCCCCUCCUCCCGGCUUAGAGGACCUCGGGGAAGGCGGGUGGUGGGAUCUGGGGCCUGAAGCGGCGAUACCGGCGCUGGUGGCGGCACCUGAGGCCUCGGCCGAAGCUGCGCGAGCCUCAGAGCAAGAUGCUUGGAACUGGACCUGCCGCCGCCACCACAGCUACCACCACAUCCAGCAAUGUGAGCGUCUUGCAGCAGUUUGCCAGUGGCCUGAAGAGCCGGAAUGAGGAGACCAGGGCCAAAGCUGCCAAGGAGCUCCAACACUAUGUCACCAUGGAGCUCCGAGAGGUUGGGGGCUUCUGUGAUUUGGGGCAAGUCAGUGUGGGGUGUUUGGGCUAAA